ensembl:lncRNA
GGCGGGUGACAACCAAGGCCUGAAAUGUCUUAUUGAUGAGUGUUUCAAGCCCUGAGCCAUCAGGGAGGAUGAGAACUCAGAAUCUGGAGCUGUCUUGCCUCCCGCACACCAGCUGGCUGUAAUGCUAUGAGUCAUAAUGGCGAAGAGGAUGGUGACAUCCAAGGACAACCACAGGGCCUCACUCUGAAGACUGGUGAGAAUCAGACUCCUCCUCCUGGUUCUGCAGCUCCCAGCAGAGUUCUGGAAGCUGAUUAAAGAGAAGAUCAGAAAUAAUAGAUCACUCGCUCUGGGAGACGCCAGCUGCCAUGUUGUCAGGAGAGGCUCAUGUGAAGAGGAACUACUGCUUCCUGAUAAAAACUACAUGGAGAGCUUGGAAGCGAAUUCUCCUGCCCCGGCCAAGCCUUCAGCUGACUGCAGCCCCAGCUGACAUCCAGACCACAGGGUCUACUACCUACCUAAUCUGCUUCCAAAUCCUUGACCCACAGAAACUGUGAGAUAAAAAAUGUUUGCU